UUUGCUUCCCUCGCUCUUUUUCCUUUCAACCGACUUGCUCCCUCCCACUGCGUGCGUGUGUGUGUGUGUGUGCCUGCGAUGGAGCUGCCGAUCCUGAAAUUCGAGGAGGAGAUUGUCGAGACAGUGAGGAAGAACUCCGUCGUCGUGUUGAUUGGGGAGACGGGCUCCGGCAAGAGCACACAACUUUCCCAGAUCCUUCACCGCCACGGCUACACGAAGUCCCGCGCCAUCGGCAUCACCCAACCCCGCCGCGUUGCCGCCGUCUCCGUCUCGAGGCGAGUUGCAUCUGAACUUGGUGUUACUCUUGGUGAGGAAGUGGGAUAUGCCAUUCGAUUUGAAGAUCGGACAUCACAGAAGACAUGUAUUAAGUAUCUUACAGAUGGUGUUCUCCUCCGUGAAAGCCUUUCUGACCCUGAGCUGAAUCAUUACUCGGUUAUUAUAUUGGACGAGGCUCAUGAAAGAAGUUUAAAUACUGACAUAUUAUUGGGCCUGAUGAAGCGCUUGAUUAAGGUUCGUCCCUCAAAUUUGAAAGUUCUUAUAACCUCUGCAACUCUGGAUGGUGCCAAGGUAUCAAAGUUUUUCUCAGGUUGUCCUGUGUUGACUAUUCCUGGAAAGCUGUUUCCCGUGGAAAUACUUUACAGCAAAGGGACCCCUGCCAGCUAUCUUGAAGCUUCUAUACACACAGCACUUGAUAUACAUAUUCGGGAGCCACCAGGAGACGUUCUAUUAUUUAUGACAGGCCAGGAUGAUAUAGACAAAGCUGUUAAGAAACUGGAGGAAAGAGUUACAACUAUGGAGGAGGGUUCAUGUAUGGAUGCCAUUAUUCUUCCGCUUCAUGGUUCUUUGCCUCCAGAAAUGCAGGUAAGAGUUUUCCUCCCAGCACCCCCAAAUUGUAGACGGAUUAUUGUGGCUACAAAUAUUGCUGAGACGUCAUUGACUGUUGAUGGUGUAGUGUAUGUCAUUGAUGCCGGUUAUGUGAAGCAGCGACAGUACAAUCCUUCAACUGGAAUGUAUUCACUUGAUGUUGUGAAAAUUAGCAGAGUGCAAGCGGAUCAACGUUCUGGCAGAGCUGGGAGAACUCGUCCAGGAAAAUGUUUCCGCCUUUAUCCAUCCUCUGUGUACCAUGAGGAACUUCUAGAAGCAACUAUUCCAGAAAUACAACGUUCAUCUCUUGCUGGAACUGUCCUUUACUUGAAAUCACUGGGCCUUGCUGAUAUCGAUGUUCUUCGAUUUGAUUUUCUAGAUCAGCCAUCGUAUGAGUCAUUAGAAGAUGCUUUGAAGCAGUUAUACCUCAUCGAUGCAAUUGAUGGGAAAGGUUCUGUUACAGACAUUGGAAGAAUGAUGGCAGAACUGCCGUUGGAACCAUCACUUUCAAGGACUUUGAUUGCUGCCAAUGAGUUAGGUUGUUUGCCCCAAGCAUUAACAGUUGCUGCUAUGCUAUCUGCUGAGAACAUUUGGGCUCAAACCUCUAGAAAAAACAAUGAUAAGAAAAGGAAGCCUAUUCAGAAUCUGCCUGAUGGUUCUGGCUGGGGUGAUCACAUACAAUUGCUGCAAAUAUAUGAGACUUGGUCGCAGGCUGAUUAUGAUCCAAAAUGGUGCAUUGACCAUAACCUCCAGGUCCGUGGGAUGAUGUUCGCUAAGGAAGUCAGAAAACAGUUAUCUCAGAUAAUGCAGAAGAUUGCUAGGGGGCCUACGGAUGUGCAAUCAAAAUACAGGCGACAAAAUAGCUCCGAGGACUAUGCCAAAUUGAGAUGGGCAUUGUGCAAGGGCUUUGCAAACCAACUUGCCCAGCGCAUGAUUCACCAUAAUGGCUAUCGGACAUUAAGUCACCGGUCACAACUUGUGCAGGUGCAUCCAUCUUCUGUACUUCAGCCAGAUGAAUAUGGUAAUUUACCAGAUUAUGUGGUAUACAACGAACUGAUCACUACAUCUAGGCCAUUCAUGCGUUACGUGUGUGCUGUUAAAUUGCCAUGGAUUAUGCCCAUCUCAGAGAAACUGGAGAAGAUGGAUAUCAACUUGUUAAGUGGUGGUCAAUCUGCCAAAAAUUUUGGGUCUCUAAGGGCCACAUCACCCUCUUGUAAUCUGGAGAGUGCACAACAUGAUGUGACAAAGACUUCAGAUGAGCACGAGAAAAAAAUACAAGCUGCAAGAGAGCGUUUUCUUGCAAGAAGAUUGAAAAAGUAGCUUGGCAUUUAAUCAGAAGGCACUUUCCUGCUAGUUAUUGGCUGAACUGCGGUAGCAGUUGUCCCGCUCUGACAUUCUAGCCAUUGGAGCUGGCUCCUCUUCCUCAUGGUGUAUGUAGAGGUUGAUCCUUCCUCAAGUGCAUCACUUGCAGGAAACCCCCUGCGAAUCCGUCAAUCUGAGGAGCAUGCCGAAAAAAUCAAAGGAUGGUUGGCUUUCUCCUGUGAUCUAAUGGACUAGUUGGGAUCAGUUUUGAGCAUUUUCUGAAGUGGUUGUUCUUUGAGAGUGUUGAAGCCUUUAUCCUAGGUUCAGAUUACUGGCUGCCUCGUGAAGUAUGCUCAUAGUGAAAGGUCGUUGUUUAAAGGAAGAUCUUGUUCAUGCCACCAUUGUGAGCUUUGUUCACUUGAAGAAGUACUUUCUGGGUCUCCAAAGCUUCAUCGAAAGGAUAAAGAUCAAUAAUGAGGCCAUUGCGAGAUCCUAAGUCAUAUGGACAGAUAAUUGGAGAAUUAUCUUAUUUCAUAACUAUGCAGCUAUAUAGUACACAUGUUUAUGUUGCAAGCUAAUAUUAUCAUGCUCCUACUGCGGUUCACAUGGGUGCAGCAAUGAUGUGUAUUAUUCAGUGCAUCAAAAAUACAACUUUCGGGGGGUCUAUUUUUCAUCUUCAUCUUCAUCAUUAGAUGUAAUUUGCUUACAUUAAUGCAGAUUGGGGUGGACCUAAAUAUUCAUCACUUUCCUGUGAGUUUUGAUAUUUUUAUGAUGGUCCCUCUUUUAUCGACCAAGUAAGAACCAAUGAAAGAUCUUUGCGUUCUCUGUUGAAGCACAAUAUUACGUUCUAAGAAGUCUCAAGGACAUGGAUCCGAAUACUGAAGAUACUUCAAAGCUUUGUGUGUGUGUGUAUAUAUAUA